rnacentral:sRNA from 1 species
AUGAGCCCUAUGACUCUGACUCAGCCCCGCCUGUGGUACCAGCAUGCAGUGGGCGUGGACUCUUCCCUCCUGAUGCCUUCCCAGCUUGGAAGAGCAAGUGCUACAAAGGAAAAUCAUCCUUGCAUGGGAAGACAAGCCAAAGCCACACAUCACGGAAGGAUUCCGAGUGAUGGAAAAGAAAAUGGAAAAAUGGGAUAGAGUUUAUAUUCGUAAUACCAAAUAGAUCUGAGAGUCAUUUCUCACUCAUGCCUCCGAUAUUAGUAUAAAUGCCCUUUUGUAACUAAAAAAAAAUUUUUUUGCCUCGAGUUCAAGACAAUACUUUCUUUUCAUUCUUUUGCAAAAAUUAAUUCGUAUCUGUUUCAGUUAGGAUUAUGUUCUGCUACAUAAAAUAGAAAAUCCAAAAGAAAAGAAAAACCUCUGUUGAGAGGUUUAAAGCCACACCGGUCGGAUCUAUUCUUUCAUGUAAAAGACAUCCGGAAAUGAGCAGUCCGGGGUGGGGAGGGCAGCUCUACAAAGACUCCAGGAACCAGGACGGCUCACAUCUUUUCUGUUUUACCAUUCUUAGCACAUAGCCUCCAGCCUCACGUUGGCUACUGGGGUUCUAGCAUCUUGUCUGGGGGUCCCGGCAACCAGAAGAGAAAAAGGCAAAGAAAACCACAUAGCAUCCCGUUGAGGCAGCCGCCCUGAAGCAUGCUCCCUGAAACCCUUCUGGAAAGUACUGCACGGCCACUACCUGGUCACCUGAUGAGGCUACAGAGGAACCAAACAAAGAUGCAGAUCCCCCUUUUUGGACGAUAGCUCGAGCUCUUUUGUGUUGGGAUCUACGACACAUCAGGAGAAGCAGAAUAGAAGGGACAUGGAGCUGCGUAUGUUUAAGUUUAAAGUUUGACAAGUAUGUGUUUGGCAAGCUAUGGAUGCACAAUUAGGAAGCAAUUGUCAUUGCACUUUUCACAAAUGUAAAUAGAGAUGAUGAAUAAAUUUACCAAA